rnacentral:rRNA from 1 species
CCUAAUACAUGCAUGUCGAACGAAGCACUUGUGCUUAGUGGCAAAUGGGUGAGUAACACGUACUUAAUCUACCCCCAAGUUUGGGAUAACAGUUGGAAACAAUUGCUAAUACCAAAUACAUAUAAGUUUUGCAUAAUUCUUAUAUAAAAGGAGCGUUUGCUUCGCUAGGGGAUGAGAGUGCGCUACAUUAGUUAGUUGGUAGGGUAAGAGCCUACCAAGACUAUGAUGUAUAGCGGGGCUGAGAAGCUGAACCGCCACACUGGGACUGAGAUACGGCCCAGACUCCUACGGGAGGCAGCAGUAGGGAAUAUUCCACAAUGAGCGAAAGCUUGAUGGAGCAACACAGCGUGCAGGAAGACGACCUUAGGGUUGUAAACCGCUGUUAUGAGGGAAGAAAAAUAAAAUUAGGAAAUGAAUUUUACAUGACGGUACCUCAUCAGAAAGCACCGGCAAACUAUGUGCCAGCAGCCGCGGUAAUACAUAGGGUGCAAGCGUUAUCCGGAAUUAUUGGGCGUAAAGUGUCUGUAGGUGGUAUGUUAAGUCUAGUGUUAAAGACUAGGGCCCAACCCUAGCACGCUCUAGAUACUGACAUGCUAGAGUCAUAGAGAGGUUAGCGGAACUCCUAGUGA